rnacentral:rRNA from 1 species
AUAUUGGACAAUGGGGGCAACCCUGAUCCAGCCAUGCCGCGUGAGUGAUGAAGGCUCUAGGGUUGUAAUGCUCUUGUGUGCGGGAAGAUAAUGACGGUACCGCAAGAAUAAGCCCCGGAUAACUUCGUGCCAGCAGCCGCGGUAAUACGAAGGGGGCUAGCGUUGCUCGGAAUCACUGGGCGUAAAGGGUGCGUAGGCGGGUUUUUAAGUCAGGGGUGAAAUCCUGGAGCUCAACUCCAGAACUGCCCUUGAUACUGAAGAUCUUGAGUCCGGGAGAGGUGAGUGGAACUGCGAGUGUAGAGGUGAAAUUCGUAGAUAUUCGCAAGAACACCAGUGGCGAAGGCGGCUCACUGGCCCGGUACUGACGCUGAGGCACGAAAGCGUGGGGAGCAAACAGG